GCACCUAUGGCAGAGUGGUCGAUAGCAGAGUACUCAUAAUACUCCUUCUUUUUAAGACGACGUUGGUUCAAAUCCGACUAGGUG
rnacentral:tRNA from 1 species